rnacentral:lncRNA from 1 species
AUUGGCUGGGGAUGGGCAUAGGACCUCAGUCCGCCCAUGUGGAGUGAGUUACAGGCCUUUUGCUUGAAAAGUUGACGUGGGAUUUGGGUGUGUGGCCUGUAAGUGCUGUGGCAACAUUUGUUACCAGGAAGAAAGCCAGCUUGCAGCUGACCCACCAAGGACUGGGGAACUCAAAUAGCUGAUGCCCUGAUGACAAAGUGACUUCCGAUGAAACCACACCUAGAGCGCCCUCUACCGUCUGACCUUUUGUCUCCGUGAGCCGAGGCAUUCGUCCUCAUCACUCACCAGAGCUUGCUGAAAGAGAGGAGCAGGGGAGCGGGAGAGAAAAGGUGGGCAGAAGAAUCACCUAAGGAGCUCGUUCCAAAAGACCCAAACCAAACCAGUGUGGACCUUCCCCCAGACUCCGAAUCAGCAGAUCUGGGGCAGCACCUGGGAACCUGCAAUUGAAAAGUUGCCCCGGUGAUUCUAACAGACACUGCUAGUAAAGAAGCUGCUCAGGAGUGCAUGGCACAUACUAAGCACAACGUGAGGGUUUAGAAUUAAAGCAGAAGCUGUGGCAUAGUGUGGGCCAAGCCAAAGGUGCCUGGUGACUAAGAUGCUGCCCCUCAGGUCAGAACGUCUUUCCCCACCUAUCCAAGCUCCUCUCAUCCUUCCAGACGCAGCCCAAAUGCCCUCUCCUCUGGAAGGCAUCCCCUGAUAUGCCCCCGCAGGGCACUCCCUCCCUGUGCCCCUUCACCCUGCUGUGGCCUUGCACGGCUGCCUUGGCUUUUAUCGUCUGCGCAACUUGGCGGAAAGGGCAGAGACUGCCGAUUCAAUCAGGAAGUCUAGGGUGGCGUGGAAGUUUCCACGUGAUCUCAAAGACCCUCAGUGAUUCUGAUGUGCAGCCCAGCUGAGAACCGCUGCUCUAGGGAAGCUCAGGGCCCACCUAGUCUUUCAUUUUCACAGCCAGAAAUGCCAAACAGCCUAUCGUGCAGCACUCAGUCUAGAAGAAUGUUCUUUUCCUGAGAUGGAGCCCCUAGCGUCUGUGAAUUUUCUGAGCCUUUUGCCUUCCAGAGGCCACUGCAUAGCUUCUGAAAGGAGUUCCACCCCUCCUGGCUUCUAUAUUUGCAUAAAUACAGGUAAAAUAUCAAUUAGGAACCAAAUGAGUCAUAGAAGAAGCAAUAGAACUAUGCUUAAUGAGUUCUGGGAAAGUCAGGCCAGAAAGCCAUGCCUUAAGGAUGACCCUUGAGCAGUUGAGCGAGUCUGAGAGCCACUUCCAUGGUUUCGGGCACAAAGGGUCUAGCAGAGAAAACCAUGAGAACCGGAACUGGUUCCCCAAGAUCUUGCGUGACGGUAUCCCCUGAGCCACAACCUUGGAAGUACCCCUCUCUCUUUUUUAGGGCCAAAUAAAUGCACAUGGGGUUGAGUUCUGCCACAACCGCUUGAGUUUUCCCCUCGCUAAAACAAGGGCAGCUUGUACAUUUCCACAGCUCUAAGCACUUUCUUUCUUCUUCUCGCUUGAGAGGACCAGGCCUCUUCUCUGUGCCUCACCCUGGUGUGCAUGCUACAUUCAUACAGAUGUGCAUACAUGUACACACACCACAGAGCAUACAGUCUGGUUAGAGGGAUUU